UAGAGGUGGAGGAUGUAAGAUUGAUGUGGCAGGAGAAGACAACAACUAUGUUGAUGAAGUGCCUGCCAUCCAUGAUGUGAAGUCCCUUCACAUGACUGGCUGAUGUUUUGCCUCACCUAGCAGAACUGUCUGUUGCUGUGCCGAGAUGAGGUGUACACAACUGUAAAGCCUCUGUAGAAGGGGGUACACCCGGGCAAGGCCUACCAAGUGUCUGAAGACAGCGUGACCUCCUUGAACCAUCAAGGCUUUACUUCAGAGAUAGAUAUUGACUAUUUCUGGAACAAGAUCUACAUCCCCUUCCCGAACAUUGUGGUGAACCUAGAGGAUCGAUUCCCAGACCUGCCACUCCUCCAGAAGUUUGAGGUCUUUAACACCCGGAAAUUCUUUGGGGAGGAGCCAACCUGCUGUGGGGAAGAUGACAUUAAGACCCGGUAGGAGAGUAUGUCAGAGAUGGUAUGCUGAAAGCUAAGCAGGCCAAAGUUGAUUGAAAGGAUUCUGCCCUGACCUUUGGGAACUGUACAAGACGGGUUUGUGGAGCAGGGAUAGUGAUGAUGACAGAG